rnacentral:rRNA from 1 species
CAGAGCGAACGCUGGCGGCGUGCUUAACACAUGCAAGUCGAACGCGCAGCAUUCUGUAGCAAUACAGGAUGUGGGCGCGUGGCGAACGGGUGCGUAACACGUGGAUAACCUUCCUUCAGGUGGGGAAUAACCCAGUGAAAAUUGGGCUAAUACCGCAUAACAUGACGAGGGCACAUGCUCUUGUCUUCAAAGGCGCAAGUCGCCAGAAGAGGGAUCCGCGGCCGAUUAGCUUGUUGGCGAGGUAAUGGCUCACCAAGGCAUUGAUCGGUAGCCGGACUGAGAGGUUGGCCGGCCACACUGGAACUGAGACACGGUCCAGACUCCUACGGGAGGCAGCAGUGGGGAAUCUUGCGCAAUGGACGAAAGUCUGACGCAGCAACGCCGCGUGGGGGAUGAAGCUUCUCGGAGUGUAAACCCCUUUCGACCCGGACGAAUGCCCGCAAGGGUUUGACGGUACGGGUAUAAGAAGCCCCGGCUAACUACGUGCCAGCAGCCGCGGUAAAACGUAGGGGGCCAGCGUUGCUCGGAAUUACUGGGCGUAAAGGGUCCGUAGGCGGUGCGGCAAGUCGGAAGUGAAAUCUCUGGGCUUAACCCAGAGGCUGCUUCCGAAACUGCCGUGCUAGAGGAUGAGAGAGGCAAGUGGAAUUGCGGGUGUAGCGGUGAAAUGCGUAGAUAUCCGCAGGAACAUCCGAGGCGAAAGCGGCUUGCUGGAUCAUUUCUGACGCUGAGGGACGAAAGCUAGGGGAGCAAACAGGAUUAGAUACCCUGGUAGUCCUAGCCCUAAACCAUCAGGACUUGGGGUUUGCCCUGUACGGGGCAAGUCCCGUAGCUAACGCGUUAAGUCCUGCGCCUGGGGAGUACGGUCGCAAGGCUGAAACUCAAAGGAAUUGACGGGGGCCCGCACAAGCGGUGGAACAUGUGGUUCAAUUCGACGCAACGCGAAGAACCUUACCUGGGCUUGAACCG